UACGUAGGGUGCGAGCGUUAAUCGGAAUUACUGGGCGUAAAGCGUGCGCAGGCGGCGCGUUAAGACAGGUGUGAAAGCCCCGAGCUUAACUUGGGAAUUGCGCUUGUGACUGGCGUGCUGGAGUGUGGCAGAGGGAGGUGGAAUUCCACGUGUAGCAGUGAAAUGCGUAGAGAUGUGGAGGAACACCGAUGGCGAAGGCAGCCUCCUGGUCCAGCACUGACGCUCAUGCACGAAAGCGUGGGGAGCAAACAGG
rnacentral:rRNA from 1 species